ACUAUAACACAUCUCCUGAUUGCAAAUCAGACACUUUAAUUUAAGCUAAAGCCUCCCAGACAGAUGGGCCUC
rnacentral:tRNA from 1 species